GCAGCAACAGCUUAUCUUCUUUGUCUCUCUUCUUGCUCUUUCCUCCUUAGCUUCUGCACGUUUCCUUGUACAAACAAAACAACGUUGUUUGGUGCUUGUUUUUCUCCAAGGUUUGAGCUACUUGAUAUAGCUGAGAAAAAAAUGAAGGUCGAUGACAUGGAACUGAUGGGGUCAGAGGAAUGCGAGGUGAAGGACGAAGAGUGUUUGAGUAGAAGGUUUAUGGUGGAGCCAGAACUGGAAUACAUCUACUCUCAUAACCGUAUCAAUAAAUAAUAACUAAAUUUUAUCUAUUUUUAUCUAA